AUUGAACGCUGGCGGAAUGCUUUACACAUGCAAGUCGAACGGCAGCACGGACUUCGGUCUGGUGGCGAGUGGCGAACGGGCGAGUAAUGUAUCGGAACGUGCCCAGUCGUGGGGGAUAACGUAGUGAAAAUUACGCGAAUACCGCAUACGAACUAUGGAUGAAAGCGGGGGAUCGCAAGACCUCGCGCGAUUGGAGCGGCCGAUAUCAGAUAGGUAGUUGGUGGGGUAAAGGCCCACCAAGCCAACGAUCUGUAGCUGGUCUGAGAGGACGACCAGCCACACUGGAACUGAGACACGGUCCAGACUCCUACGGGAGGCAGCAGUGGGGAAUUUUGGACAAUGGGCGAAAGCCUGAUCCAGCCAUUCCGCGUGCAGGAUGAAGGCCCUCGGGUUGUAAACUGCUUUUGUACAGAACGAAAAGGUUUCUACUAAUACUAGGAGCUCAUGACGGUACUGUAAGAAUAAGCACCGGCUAACUACGUGCCAGCCGCCGCAGUAA
rnacentral:rRNA from 1 species